rnacentral:rRNA from 1 species
UUAGUGGAAGCGUCUGGAAAGGCGCGCGAUACAGGGUGACAGCCCCGUACACAAAAGCGCAUGUGCUGUGAGCUCGAUGAGUAGGGCGGGACACGUGGUAUCCUGUCUGAAUAUGGGGGGACCAUCCUCCAAGGCUAAAUACUCCUGACUGACCGAUAGUGAACCAGUACCGUGAGGGAAAGGCGAAAAGAACCCCGGCGAGGGGAGUGAAAAAGAACCUGAAACCGUGUACGUACAAGCAGUGGGAGCACAGGUUUACCUGUGUGACUGCGUACCUUUUGUAUAAUGGGUCAGCGACUUAUAUUCUGUAGCAAGGUUAACCGAAUAGGGGAGCCGGAGGGAAACCGAGUCUUAAYYGGGCGUUAAGUUGCAGGGUAUAGACCCGAAACCCGGUGAUCUAGCCAUGGGCAGGUUGAAGGUUGGGUAACACUAACUGGAGGACCGAACCGACUAAUGUUGAAAAAUUAGCGGAUGACCUGUGGCUGGGGGUGAAAGGCCAAUCAAACCGGGAGAUAGCUGGUUCUCCCCGAAAGCUAUUUAGGUAGCGCCUCGUGAAUUCAUCUCCGGGGGU